rnacentral:rRNA from 1 species
AUUGAACGCUGGCGGCAGGCUUAACACAUGCAAGUCGAACGAGUGGCGGACGGGUGAGUAAUGCUUGGGAAUCUAUCUUAUGGAGGGGGAUAACUACUGGAAACUUUAGCUAAUACCGCCUACCAUAGUAUGCGCCCCAGUGGGAUUAGGUAGGUGGUGAGGUAAAGGCUCACCAAGCCGACGAUCUCUAGCUGGUCUUAGAGGAUGACCAGCCACACUGGGACUGAGACACGGCCCAGACUCCUACGGGAGGCAGCAGUGGGGAAUAUUGCGCAAUGGGGGCAACCUGACGGAGCCAUGCGGCGUGAAUGAAGAAGGCGUUCGGGUUGUAAAGUUGUUUCGAUAGGGAGGCGUUAACUACAGAAGAAGCACCGGCUAACUCCGUGCCAGCAGCCGCGGUAAUUC